rnacentral:rRNA from 1 species
UACGUAGGGGGCAAGCGUUGUCCGGAUUUAUUGGGCGUAAAGAGCGUGUAGGCGGCCGUACAGGUCAGCUGUGAAAACUCGAGGCUCAACCUCGAGACGUCGGUUGAAACCGUACGGCUAGAGUCCGGAAGAGGAGAGUGGAAUUCCCGGUGUAGCGGUGAAAUGCGCAGAUAUCGGGAAGAACAUCCGUGGCGAAGGCGGCUCUCUGGGACGGUACUGACGCUGAGACGCGAAAGCGUGGGGAGCGAACAGG